CCGAGAUGGCGCUCUGGGGGCUCGGGCCGCGCGCCCAGCCGCGGAGUCCCGGUGGAGCCUCCGUGCGCCGCGCGGCCGGGUGGCGGUCCCCGGAGCGGAACCCGUGGGGGGAGCCCCGGCCAGCUCUGCGCGCAGAGGCCGCGGUCACGGGCCAGUCCGCUCGCUGGCGGGGACCCCAGGAUGCACCAACGGAGAAAUCCCGGAGCGCUGCAGACGUUCGCAACCAUUUGUAUAACCUUCAGAAAUAAGCAGCACAGCGUUAGCACUUCUACAUGUUGUAUCAGUUGAUUCUCACAACAGAUAAUUCUCUCCGUGUGCAAGAUGAAGAAACGGAAUCGAAAGUUAACCUGAGGCCAGCAGGACAAAGACAGGAAAGGACGAAUGUGUCUGCUUUCCUGGAAACCCACGUCAGUGCGCAUUAAGGCCACUUCUGGCUUCCCGCGCAGCCCAGCCCCGCAGUCCCCCGGCUCUUCCUUCGCGCUCCUCACUCUCCCUGGGGAGGAGGACAGUACCCGCCGGGGCCACCAGGGGGCGCACGCGUGCCGCGGGAAAGCGCCUGCGCGCGUGUUCCCGCGCCGCGGACACCCCCGGGGCACGCGCUCGGCCCCAGCACCCUGCUGUCUCGUGACGCCGCCGCAGCCAGGUCCCCGCCCCCGUUCCGGGCGCGCAGGGGUCUCUCUGGCUGCAGGUCUCCCAGCGCUUCUUGUCCACCGCCGUCUCUAGAGCCCUGAGGCCCGGGACCCCGUCCCCGGCGUCACCACCGACUAGCCAACAGCUCGGCUUUCCUCCCCUGUGAAAGGGGGCUCCGACUGCUGCCCCGUGAGCGUCGGGGGGCUGCUGUAAACGCGAAGCAGCCCGGCAGGAACCGACACUACUAACUACAGAGUACCCCCCGGGUUGUGCCCGUGUCUGAUCUCAGACUGUGUCAUUUCUCGCUCCCGCUGCCUUUUCGGCUACGGCUCUUCACCCCCCGACCCUGGGCCUGGGUGGAGAACUCACUGCCAGCAGGGGUUCCUGGGCCUCCACGCCUGCUCGGCCAGCCGCAGCCAGAGGGGUGGGAACUGACGUUCCCUGGGCCAUCCCGAGGUGGCUCUGUCGACAGGGAGAGAAGGACAGAAACCGACGGGGGCGGCGAGCGGCUCCGCAGCUGGCCGCGGGGGAGGCUGAGAGCAUCCUGCUCGGGGCCCGAGCCAAUACCCGCAUGCACGUGGACAUGAAUGUGCGCGCGUGGGCCGGCGCACAAACGCCCCUCCCCGGGGUAAGGUACUCUAAGGUCUGGGGACACUAGGUGGCAGCACGAGGCCACAGACAGCGGGGCGUCAGCCUCUCUGGCCUCUCGGAGGCGAGGGGCACCCCGACCGCGCUCCCGGCUUCAGGCACCGCAUCCCGCCCGACGCGUGGUAAAGACCCCGAGCAGGCCGGGGAGAGCAGACCCGGAGAGCCCAUUGCCCACUUUCCAGGGUUGUUGUCAGAGAGCCCCUAGGAUUCGUUUUCCAGCUUUCAAAAGGGUACAAACAAGGGGGAGUUUGGAACGCUGAAUGAGAAAUCUGGAUUAGGGUAAGGGGGCAUCUGGAUAGGACUCCCCAACCCAGACUGAUCGGGAAAAGAACUGGUUGCAGGAAUCCGUUUUUUGUUUUGGUUUGGUUUGGUUUGGUUUUAAAUGAAAUAGUGAUGUCCUGAGGACAUUAUUACCUCUCCCGUUCCUGCCCCAGGAGCCUCAGACAUCUCUCCUCCAGUUUCCUCAGAGACAGAGAGCCCAUAACCUUUCCCAGUAAAGCAGAAAUCAGGCACCGUAGCUCAUGGAAACUUAAUUUUAUCUUUCCAUCAAGUAUUGGUUCAUUGUUCUACCAAAAGCCAGGGACACUUGAGAAAAACCCAUCUCAGCCAGGACAUCCCGAAAGCCUUCUGAGACACAAAGCAGGGAGUUGACGGUGCCACCACCCCACCCGUGCAAGUGUUCUGGGGUGGGAGGGACAUGGUCCCAGUGCAAGAUGCCACCUUCUCCUUGGCCUCACUCUGCUUGCUUUUGUAACUCCGAAAUGAAAUCCCCUUUCUUCAUUUCCACUCCUCCUACUGCUCCACUCAAUCUCUUAAUUAGUGGAGUCAUCAUGGCCCUGAAGCCCAGCGACACCCCUCCCAAUUUCCUUGAGCACAAUAGAGCCAAGACCACCACCUCACCCUGUCUUCUCUGUCUGUGGGCUGGGACUCCCCAGUCCUCCCUGUCCUCCCCGGUCCUCCCUGGUCCCUCCCUGGUGCUCCCCUGUCCCUCCUCGGUCCUCCCUGGUUCCUCCAGACCUCACUUCUUCUCAUGCUUCUCCUUUGACCGAACUGCUGUAACACUGUCUUUAUAACGAUGCAUAUAAAGCACUUGAAACACAACUCAGUGUCAAUGAUUAUCAUUGCUAUUUCUUUUUUUAAAAAAGAUUUUAUUUAUUCAUUUGAGACACAGAGAUAGAGAGAGCAUGAGAAGGGGGAGAGGCAGAGGGAGAGGGAGAAGCAGG